GGCCGUGUAACUCAGUUGGUUAGAGUAUCUAACUCAUAAUUAGAAAGUCCUUGGUUCGAACCCAAGCUCGGCCA
rnacentral:tRNA from 1 species